CAGUCGCCGCGGGAAUACAGAGGGUGCGAGCGUUAAUCGGAUUUACUGGGCGUAAAGCGUGCGUAGGCGGCUUCUUAAGUCGGAUGUGAAAUCCCUGAGCUUAACUUAGGAAUUGCAUUCGAUACUGGGAAGCUAGAGUAUGGGAGAGGAUGGUAGAAUUCCAGGUGUAGCGGUGAAAUGCGUAGAGAUCUGGAGGAAUACCGAUGGCGAAGGCAGACAUCUGGCCUAAUACUGACGCUGAGGUACGAAAGCAUGGGGAGCAAACAGGAUUAGAGACCCCCGUAGUCCCUGUCUCUUAUAA
rnacentral:rRNA from 1 species